GUAUGUCUAGAUUUCAGGAACAAGUGUCAUCGCUAAGCAACAGCUCUCAGUUCAAAACACAUACAAUUAUAAAAGAUCAACCUUAUUGAAAAAAAUAAAAUAUACAAAGCUUAAUUCUGUGCAUGAGUCAAAAUAAAGCAACUGGCUAACCUUGAACCCAUUUUCAUGAGUGCAUGGGGGGUAGGAGGUUCUGAGUCAUGAGGUCUACCUUCCCCAUUUCUCUCCUACAACAGAAAAUAAAAAAAAAAAGACUACAAACUAAUGUUAACAGAUAGCCUGAAAAUGUACACUUUAGGAAAUGGAGCAGGACUACACAACCAAGCAAAAUCAUGACAUGAUAGCACAUAUGCAACCUAACAAAUGAUAUAAUGCUUUUCGUUUAGAAGAAAGCAGCACGAGGAUUGGUAAGUAUACAAACUAAAAGAAUAUAUAUUUUAACAAGGCAUUCAGGAUCUCAUCUUAAUCUUUUAAGGAACCAGAGUGGUUAACUCAAAGUAGAGAAUACAUGCAAUAGAUUAAUAUUGGAAAUCAGGAUUUUCAGGAACAUGCUCUCAUAGCUGAGAGGUAAGAAACUAAUAAUCUCCUUCAUAAAUUAACAUUAUAAAAAGAAAUGAAGAUGUAACUACUUAAGGAUGAGUCAUUGAUCUCUUUGAUAUUUUUCCAAUCUGAAUAACAUGCAGAGCAGAAUUAAUCUCAAACAGGAGAAACCUCAUUAUGAGUAGUGCAUGUGAUCUGAACACUACAAAUAGAAUCUGAAAUAAUUCAUUCGGAUCCAGACAGUUCAGCAGAUUUCAAGAUUUAACUGCAGAGAAGGUCGUAGACAAACAAAAAACUAGUUAAGGUAGCAUGUUUACCAUGUCAUUAGAGGGAAUGCUACCAUUAGGAGCAGCGACCCUCCAAGCUAUUGUAGCCGCCAGCUUUUCUGCGAUUCUGUAAAGCCUUCACUUCAGAUCCGGAUUGCCCCCUCACAGGAGCAGCGUCCUGUUCAAAUCACAAGUCAGCCGCAGCACAUUUAAAGCUGACUAGACUAAAUCAAACACAACUAUAAUCUAUUAGUGAACUUCGUUUGAUAGCAAAAAUUUACAUAAUUAAUUAAGAUGAACUUAAGUAAUGACAAGAGGAAGAGGAAUAUGAGAUGGAAUUGUAAGACUCACGAUUUUCCAGCACCACUCGUUUCCAUAACCACUGAGCUUUGCCUGUCCAAUGUUGGUAGCAUCAUAUAAUUACUAACAUUAUCAAAAAUAGAUGACUUAAUCAACUCAUUGAUUUCAAUUAUGUAUACCUUUAUAAAUGUCAUCUGAUAUACCUUAAAUGCAUAUAUAAGAUCUCUCUUUCCCAUCAAAAGCUGCUGUCAAAUAAUCAUUCAUAUUCAAACAACUUUGAGACACCUAACAUGACUUAGUCACACAUAAACCUCUAUGUUAAAAGGGGCAGCACGCAUCUUAGGCUUCAAAUCCCGUCUGAAAUGGCUGUGGAUUCACCUUUCUCGGCCUUCCCCUAGGCCUGCUAGUCUUGGAGAUGCUCGGGGGGUGGGGGGAGGGGGGUUGAUGGGGGGCUUCAGCUUUUUGAGUUUUCUUCCACCAACUGUUUGUGUACCUGUUUCUGAAGCAAGCAAUAAACUAAGUGCCAUAAAACUUCACCAUUCCUUCAAAUGCAAACUUUUAUGACCAAGCAAGAAAAUACUACAACUCAAAACCACAAAUAAGAUCACCCAACUGAGCAAACUGAAUACCGAGACAAAUAUUGUUCAUCAAAUCCUUAUAACUCCCAGCAACCUCAAUUCAGUUUAGUGUCUCUUCAAGGAUAAUAUUGCUGAUAAAUUCAUAUUCCUAGUUACAAAGACUAAUCUGUAAGCAGAAUCUAGUUAACACAAACUUCACAAAUUGAAACACGCACAAGCUUCACAAACUUCACAAAGACUAAUCUGUGAAGAAAAACAUGGAUGAUUAGGUAAUGCAAACCUUAACAAGCUCAUCAAGGACCGAAAAGGCCAGUGAUGUAGCUCUCUCCGGAAUGAAUCUGUAGAAAGAUAGCAAAUAGUAUCAGAGGCCAAUGUCUGUAGAAAGAUAGCAAAUAGCAAGUAGAAUAAAAUCGUAUUCUGAUAAACUUCCCACUAAGAUUUCAAUUUGACACCUAACGAAGGUACAGAUAGACUUUGAAGUUGCAUCUUUCAGAGCUCUGGUCAGAAAAUUCAAGCACUCGGGGGGGGUUACUAGGGUCAGCUGAAGCACCCUCCAGCCAAUAUAUCACUCUUUGAAAUUCCAUAAUCAACACUAAUUCAAUCUACUGCAUACUCUAAUGUAAUUACUCUAACUCGCCAGAAACUAGCAAUUUCAUCUUCAACUUGCUCUCACUUCGCACAGCAACACAAACACAAUAUCCCCCAAACUGUGGAAUACAGAAGUGCUUACAAAACGCUACAAUUUGAAACUCCACCUCAGCCAAUAAUACAACCAACUCAAGAACGGUACACUUCAAACACAACCACAAUCAUCCAACAAACGCAACGAACUGCAUAACACAGUAAUUAUCUUUUAAUAGAAAAAAGGAAAAAUAACGUACGGGUUGAGAUAAUCGGAACGGGAAACGAGACAAUCCCAUCCUAGAGAAGAGUAGAGAGCGACUAAAUCCUUCAAUUGAACAUACGACCAAACCGAAACCCACGCAAAAAGCACAACUAUCCCCUUUGCUUUGCAUUCUUCUCCGCGAUUCCGCGACCCAAUACAACUUCCCGCGCCCAUCACACAAACUCCAUUAGCACCAUUCUACAACACCACACUAUUUAAAACACGACAACAAAAUAAAACAAAGAGGAAUUGAGAGUAGACCUUAAAACAAAACUCCUUCAGUUCAGCGACGGACAUCCUCUUUCUCAGCGACAAAUCAAUUGGAAGCAGAAGAAGAUUUAGCCCUCCAGCUUCAUUUGAACCCUAGCUUUGGCAUUUCCACACAAUUGAGAGUCGAAUCGUGUGAUUGGGCAAGAGGGAUUGAGGAAUUGAAAGGGGUUUGGGCGUGUACAGGUUGCGUGAGGAGAGGUCGGCGGAAAAGGGCGGCACGGAGAGGUCGAAGUCCUAGGGUUCUAGAUUUGGNCAAUUAUGCCCGGUUGUCUUAACAUGUAUGUCUAGAUUUCAGGAACAAGUGUCAUCGCUAAGCAACAGCUCUCACUUCAAAACACAUACAAUUUAUAAAAGAUCAACCUUAUUGAAAAAAAUAAAAUAUACAAAGCUUAAUUCUGUGCAUGAGUCAAAAUAAAGUCAACUGGCUAACCUUGAACCCAUUUUCAUGUAGUGCUAUGGGGGGUAGGAGGUUCUGAGUCAUGAGGUCUACCUUCCCCAUUUCUCUCCUACAACAGAAAUAAAAAAAAAAAGACUCAAACUAAUGUUAACAGAUAGCCCUGAAAAUGUACACUUUAGGAAAUGGAGCAGGACUACACAACCAAGCAAAAUCAUGACAUGAUAGCACAUAUGCAAC
rnacentral:lncRNA from 1 species